rnacentral:tRNA from 1 species
CGCCCUGUGGUCCGGUGACGACAAGCCGUGGGUCGGGGCCGUGGACGCUUUCGCCAUCGGGGGCGGGAUGCAGAUCCUGCUCGCGCUGGACGGC